GAUGAACGCUGGCGGCGUGCCUAAUACAUGCAAGUCGAACGAUGAAGCCGGAGCUUGCUCUGGUGAAUUAGUGGCGAACGGGUGAGUAACACGUGAGUAACCUGCCCUUGACUCUGGGAUAACUGCUAGAAAUGGUAGCUAAUACCGGAUACGACCCUCGGAGGCAUCUCCAGGGGGUGGAAAGAAUUUCGGUCAAGGAUGGACUCGCGGCCUAUCAGCUAGUUGGUGAGGUAACGGCUCACCAAGGCGACGACGGGUAGCCGGCCUGAGAGGGUGACCGGCCACACUGGGACUGAGACACGGCCCAGACUCCUACGGGAGGCAGCAGUGGGGAAUAGUGCACAAUGGGCGCAAGCCUGAUGCAGCAACGCCGCGUGAGGGAUGACGGCCUUCGGGUGUAAACCUCUUUUAGUAGGGAAGAAGCGAAAGUGACGGUACCUGCAGAAAAAGCACCGGCUAACUACGUGCCAGCCGCCGCUGUAA
rnacentral:rRNA from 1 species